CCUACGGGGGGCAGCAGUGGGGGAUCUUGCACAAUGGGGGAAACCCUGAUGCAGCGACGCCGCGUGGGCGAAGAAGUAUUUCGGUAUGUAAAGCCCUAUCAGCAGGGACGAAGAAAUGACGGUACCUGAGUAAGAAGCACCGGCUAAAUACGUGCCAGGAGCCGCGGUAAUUCGUAUGGUGCAAGCGUUUUCCGGAUUUACUGGGUGUAAAGGGAGGGCGGGCGGCACGUCAAGUCUGAUGUGAAAGCCCGCGGCCCAACCGCGGGACUGAAAUGGAAACUACCGGGCUGGAGUGCCGGAGAGGUAGGCGGAAUUCCUAGUGUAGCGGUGAAAUGCGUAGAUAUUAGGAGGAACACCAGUGGCGAAGGCGGCCUGCUGGACGGUGACUGACGCUGAGGCUCGAAAGCGUGGGGAGCAAACAGGAUUAGAUACCCGAGUAGUC
rnacentral:rRNA from 1 species